rnacentral:rRNA from 1 species
UACGAAGGGGGCAAGCGUUGUUCGGAAUUACUGGGCGUAAAGGGCGCGCAGGCGGCUCAUUUUGUCAGGCGUGAAAGCCCCGGGCUUAACCUGGGAACUGCGUUUGAUACGGAUGGGCUAGAGUUCGGGAGAGGAGAGUGGAAUUCCCAGUGUAGAGGUGAAAUGCGUAGAUAUUGGGAGGAACACCAGUGGCGAAGGCGGCUCACUGGACCGGAACUGACGCUGAGGCGCGAAAGCGUGGGGAGCAAACGGG